rnacentral:rRNA from 1 species
GAAUUAUUGGGCGUAAAGCGCGCGUAGGCGGUUUUUAAGUCUGAUGUGAAAGCCCACGGCUCAACCGUGGAGGGUCAUUGGAAACUGGAAAACUUGAGUGCAGAAGAGGAAAGUGGAAUUCCAUGUGUAGCGGUGAAAUGCGCAGAGAUAUGGAGGAACACCAGUGGCGAAGGCGACUUUCUGGUCUGUAACUGACGCUGAUGUGCGAAAGCGUGGGGAUCAAACAGGAUUAGAUACCCUGGUAGUCAAGGGCG